UGGGGAAUAUUGCACAAUGGGCGCAAGCCUGAUGCAGCAACGCCGCGUGAGGGACGACGGCCUUCGGGUUGUAAACCUCUUUUAGUAGGGAAGAAGCGAAAGUGACGGUACCUGCAGAAAAAGCACCGGCUAACUACGUGCCAGCAGCCGCGGUAAUACGUAGGGUGCGAGCGUUGUCCGGAAUUAUUGGGCGUAAAGAGCUCGUAGGCGGUCUGUCGCGUCUGCUGUGAAAACCCGAGGCUCAACCUCGGGCCUGCAGUGGGUACGGGCAGACUAGAGUGCGGUAGGGGAGAAUGGAAUUCCUGGUGUAGCGGUGGAAUGCGCAGAUAUCAGGAGGAACACCGAUGGCGAAGGCAGUUCUCUGGGCCGUAACUGACGCUGAGGAGCGAAAGCGUGGGGAGCGAACAGGAUUAGAUACCCUGGUAGUCCACGCCGUAAACGUUGGGCGCUAGAUGUGGGGACCAUUCCACGGUUUCCGUGUCGCAGCUAACGCAUUAAGCGCCCCGCCU
rnacentral:rRNA from 1 species